CUAAUAUAAAAAAUAAUUUAUUAAAGUUUUGAAUUGUUUGAAUCACACUGAAGCAAUACAGACCGAAGUCUUGUGUUCAAAUCACAUCAAUCGUAUCUCGAUCACGAAUAAAGAUGCCUUGAGUGACAGCCACCGCAACUUUGGAUUGGCAACUUUAAAACAAUCCUACCUGUACAUGCAAGGAGAAAGUUGAAUUAACUCCGAAACGACAUAUCCACAAGAUCGUUACCGCACAGUUGACCUGCAUAUUCGAGUUGUGUUCGAAGCAGGAUCAUCUUGAAAUGCUCCAUAGAACCAACGCAUGUGAUCCACGUUAAGUGGAUCCAGACACUACGCCAUCUACUCUGCUAUAUACGAGUAUAUUGGUACGAAGCUGUCUCUGUGAACCACUGAUAAUAUUUUGAUAUCACGUCACACUACAAAUGACGUCACCCAGUUGGUUCUAUGAGCAAAUAAUGCCAAAGAAUAUUACGCGAAAUAAAAGAACAGCUGGAGGAAGAAAAGGCGAAGAUGGAAGACAAAGGCGGAACAGAAGCUAAAGUGCGAAGAUGGAGCCAUAGCAUACCCAGACUAAGAUUUAUUCUUAGUCAAUGUAAUUACUAACUUAUGUGAGCUGUAGCAUAAAAGUCCCCUAUACUUUAUUGAAUGCUUGUUUAAAAUUUAAUGUUUAUGUGGUACACUGUGUGGUGUGGGGUGGAGUGGGGAAUUAUAUACGGAGAUCAAAAGAAUAAUGUCCACCUUUGUACACGUUAGUAAUGAAACGUGGUUGGGAAUCUUGGGUUUUAUUUCUCCAUGUGUAUGUGUGUGUAAACAAGCUGCAUAAGAACGGUGCGCGCAGGUCAGA